UCUCAAUUUACAACACAUUGUCUUACCCAACAAAACUGCUUAAAUCAGUAUCCAAACAAGAUUUUACAUAUCACAAGCUUGAUCAAAAAAGAAUAUGCUUAAAAACCAAAAAACUAUGAUGGGUGACAAAUAACAGCUUUACAGUGGGAUUCACUGUCUAUAAUCCACAACCCUAAACUUUCAAGCCUGUUUUGUACCAAACCCGAACCCGCAUCCGAAGACCAAAACACAACCUUUGUGUCAUUCUUUAACACGAUUCCAUUAUCAUCACCGGCGUUAAUCUCAACGCUAAACCCUAGACCCUCGUCAAACCUCUCUAACUUAACACCUUUCCUCUCCAAUAACUUUCCCGCGAUAAACCCAAAACCGCCCCCGUCUUUACUCAUCGUGGGGUCCGCCGUUUGUGCAAUCUCGUUCACAAAGCGAUUGUUCCAGAUCCCGGAUCCUGUACUCCUGGCAAACAGAAGUCCAAGUCUACUCCCGACGUAAAAGUCAACGGUGGGAUCAAGUUUGACCGAGUCAAGAAAAAAGUCAGCCUUGACCGGAACCAUGUCGUGAUCCAACACCCACGUGUCAUACUUCAUUUCCAACGCUUUUUUUACCACUAACGCCUUCACGAUAUUCUCCUUGCUUAAUUUACUCGAUUUGUAUUCCUUCAACGUGUCGAAAAACGCAUCCACGUUAACCACUGUAUGCCCACGUCUUGCAAGAUCAAGCAAGAAAUCAGAAUCGGGACCCACAAAGAUAUAGUUCCAAACAUUAAGCCUCGCAAAAUGACACAAUAAGUUUCGGGUUAACAUCUUUGACGUCUGAUCUACGCUCACAACCACUAAAGCAUUCGCCUUUUGGACCGAUUUCAAAACAGGCUCGAGUUCAUCAACGUUUGUCACAAUCCUAUCGGGAAUUACUUCUCGAAAACAGAAAUCAUACCAUUUAAGAUUUCUUAGAGGCUCCAAUUUGAAAACGCUGCUCUCACGAGAACUCUCCUGAAUCAGAUUCGAAUCGGGCCCUGCUGUUUUCCCGUAGUUAACCCCCGUGUCUCUAUGAGAGACACUGAGCGCUGACUCGUUUAAGAAAUUCGUGUAAAUGUUGAAAUACCCUCGCGCGUGUAUAAAUUUAAUAAACCACGGCGUCCAUAUCCUGUCCCCCAUCUUUUUGUACCAACCCGUUGUCACCUACACAUCAAAAUAAAAAUUAACAAAAUGAUAAAAACAUACAGAGAAGAUGAAGAGAGCUGAGAGAGAGACAAUGAGGAAGAUGGGGUAAAAGUAAAACCCUCUCUUUGGUGCCAUUUUGAGAUUUAUAACUUCAUGUAGAACAAAUCGAUUUGUGAACAAAUCGUCACUGUUUGAACAAUAUAAACCCUAAAGAUUUGAACUUAGAAUUGAAAUCUGAAGAAGAAAAAGAACAGAGAAGGAGAGUGUAACCUCGAUCCAAUCAGUGGCUUCUGCAAGUAGCAAUGAUUUGUUGUAUGGAAGUUCAAAUCUUGAAUCUUGAUUAUUGCAGCUUUUUCCAGGGUUUGGAGUUUAUUUCUUCGUCUUCAAUGAGG
rnacentral:lncRNA from 1 species